GUAUAGGGGCUGACGCCUGCCCGGUGCUGGAAGGUUAAGAGGAGCGCUUAGCGUAAGCGAAGGUGCGAAUUGAAGCCCCAGUAAACGGCGGCCGUAACUAUAACGGUCCUAAGGUAGCGAAAUUCCUUGUCGGGUAAGUUCCGACCCGCACGAAAGGCGCAACGAUCUGGGCACUGUCUCAACGAGAGACUCGGUGAAAUUAUAGUACCUGUGAAGAUGCAGGUUACCCGCGACAGGACGGAAAGACCCCGUGGAGCUUUACUGCAGCCUGAUAUUGAAUGUUGGUACAGCUUGUACAGGAUAGGUAGGAGCCUUGGAAACCGGAGCGCUAGCUUCGGUGGAGGCAUCGGUGGGAUACUACCCUGGCUGUAUUGACCUUCUAACCCGCUGCCCUUAUCGGGCAGGGAGACAGUGUCAGGUGGGCAGUUUGACUGGGGCGGUCGCCUCCUAAAAUGUAACGGAGGCGCCCAAAGGUUCCCUCAGAAUGGUUGGAAAUCAUUCGCAGAGUGUAAAGGCACAAGGGAGCUUGACUGCGAGACCUACAAGUCGAGCAGGGACGAAAGUCGGGCUUAGUGAUCCGGUGGUUCCGCAUGGAAGGGCCAUCGCUCAACGGAUAAAAGCUACCCCGGGGAUAACAGGCUUAUCUCCCCCAAGAGUCCACAUCGACGGGGAGGUUUGGCACCUCGAUGUCGGCUCAUCGCAUCCUGGGGCUGUAGUCGGUCCCAAGGGUUGGGCUGUUCGCCCAUUAAAGC
rnacentral:rRNA from 1 species